rnacentral:rRNA from 1 species
UACGUAGGGUGCAAGCGUUGUCCGGAAUUAUUGGGCGUAAAGAGCUCGUAGGCGGUCUGUCGCGUCUGCUGUGAAAACUCAGGGCUUAACCCUGAGCUUGCAGUGGGUACGGGCAGACUAGAGUGCGGUAGGGGAGACUGGAAUUCCUGGUGUAGCGGUGAAAUGCGCAGAUAUCAGGAGGAACACCGGUGGCGAAGGCGGGUCUCUGGACAGUUCCUGACGGCUGAGG